CACGUAGGGGGCAAGCGUUGUCCGGAAUCAUUGGGCGUAAAGAGCUCGUAGGCGGCUCAGUAAGUCGGGUGUGAAACCCUCAGGCUCAACCUGGGGACGCCACCCGAUACUGCUGUGGCUAGAGUCCAGUAGGGGAGUGUGGAAUUCCCGGUGUAGCGGUGAAAUGCGCAGAUAUCGGGAGGAACACCAGCGGCGAAGGCGGCACUCUGGGCUGGUACUGACGCUGAGGCGCGAAAGCGUGGGGAGCGAACAGG
rnacentral:rRNA from 1 species